UUUUUCUUGCCACUUCAAGACUUGCGAAAGUCUUCCAAAAGCAAGUCCAUCAUCUCCGUUGAACCAUUCUAUAAAUCUUCAAGUGCAUCGACUUUAACGACAUCGCCAGAGUACUCCAUCGAAACCGCUCUCGUUCGCCAGAGCUUCUCUCCGCCGCCGUCAGAUUCGCCAUCCGAGUUCCUUGACCCGUUCCGUUGCAACCACAGGUACCAGUUAAUCGCCUUUUGUUCAUUCUCUUAACCAUAUUUCACAAGCAUUAAUGCAUUCCGAUACCAACUACAGUCACUGCCACACCUUCCUAAUCGGAUCGCCGCCUCGCUCGCCGCCGUGCAUCACCACCACGUCUUCAUCUUAAACCGGCCUCGGUUGCUGUCCUAAUCCGUUCGGUUCACUCGUUAUU
rnacentral:lncRNA from 1 species